GGUCAGUAGGGAGAUAAUGAGUUAUCUCAAUUGAUUGUUCACAGUAUCAGUUACAGAUAGAACUCCUUGUUCUGCUUUUCCUGCCUUCUCACUGCUGCAAUCUACUAGUCUUAG
ensembl:Y_RNA Y_RNA Y RNA